rnacentral:rRNA from 1 species
UGAUGAAGGCCCUAGGGUUGUAAAGCUCUUUCAACGGUGAAGAUAAUGACGGUAACCGUAGAAGAAGCCCCGGCUAACUUCGUGCCAGCAGCCGCGGUAAUACGAAGGGGGCUAGCGUUGUUCGGAAUUACUGGGCGUAAAGCGCACGUAGGCGGAUUGUUAAGUUAGGGGUGAAAUCCCAGGGCUCAACCCUGGAACUGCCUUUAAUACUGGCAAUCUCGAGUCCGAGAGAGGUGAGUGGAAUUCCGAGUGUAGAGGUGAAAUUCGUAGAUAUUCGGAGGAACACCAGUGGCGAAGGCGGCUCACUGGCUCGGUACUGACGCUGAGGUGCGAAAGCGUGGGGAGCAAACAGG